rnacentral:rRNA from 1 species
GACGAACGCUGGCGGCGUGCUUAACACAUGCAAGUCGAACGGAAAGGCCCUGCUUUUGUGGGGUGCUCGAGUGGCGAACGGGUGAGUAACACGUGAGUAACCUGCCCUUGGCUUUGGGAUAACUUCAGGAAACUGGGGCUAAUACCGGAUAGGAGCUCCUGCUGCAUGGUGGGGGUUGGAAAGUUUCGGCGGUUGGGGAUGGACUCGCGGCUUAUCAGCUUGUUGGUGGGGUAGUGGCUUACCAAGGCUUUGACGGGUAGCCGGCCUGAGAGGGUGACCGGCCACAUUGGGACUGAGAUACGGCCCAGACUCCUACUGGAGGCAGCAGUGGGGAAUAUUGCACAAUGGGCGGAAGCCUGAUGCAGCAACGCCGCGUGCGGGAUGACGGCCUUCGGGUUGUAAACCGCUUUCGCCUGUGACGAAGCGUGAGUGACGGUAAUGGGUAAAGAAGCACCGGCUAACUACGUG